CAAAGACACAGCUUGACUCUGGGAUUUAGCAACACUCAUACAUGAAAUAUAUGCAGACUGAAUUGGAUGGAGUGAAGUAUGCUUCCAGCCACCUGUCUCCUGGCAGAAACAGGUGUGCUGUGCAGGUAAUGUUCUCAGUGUAAAGAAGCACUGACCAAAGAAAGGCCAUGAGAGAAAUAUGCUUACAACAGAGAAGCUAAAACAAUGACAGCUUGGCCAUUAGCAAAGCUCUAUGCCUUGAUCAGGUUGAAAAUAUGCUGGCACAGCCAGCAUCAGCUCCAGCCAAGUCAUGGAUGUGCAGAGGGGCCCAGCAGUAUGGAAUGCAAAGCAACUCCACAAAGUAAGUUCAAAGUGAUUUCAAAACUUCCCAGAAGUGGUGCCAUAAUUUCUGGGCAGUGGCUCAGGUAUGAAAGUUCUUAUUUCAAAUGAAUCUGUCCAGUAAUUCCUG
rnacentral:lncRNA from 1 species